GGUAAGGUGGCUGAGUCUUAAGCGGUGGGUUGUAGCUCCAUGGACAGAGGUUAAACUCCUCUCUUUAUCA
rnacentral:tRNA from 1 species